UUUUUGGAACCUCCGUCUCUCUCAAAGUCCUCCCUAUACUACGCUCAGAACUCUCAAGAACCCUCAAAAAUCUCAAAGCACUUGCACGAAACGCCAACAAUCCUUAUUUAUUCCCUCUUUCUCUCGCUAUCUCCUUCUCGUUAUUACCAUUGUUUUCAUGCUAAAAUCCCAAAGAAGCUCUGAAUUCGACUCGGUCCCUCAUUUCUAGGGUUUCCAGUUCAUUUUUCACUCGAUUUUCCUCAAUUCUUCUCUAAAACAAGUGGCUCGAAUUUGUUUUCUGUUUUCGUUUUUCGUAAACUCGAACCCUAGAAAUCGAAUUAUGGCUUUUCGAUUUUAAUUUUUUUUUUCUAAACUUUUAGGGUAGUUGUUUUUGUUCCUAUCUAAUUUACUCUCAGGUCCUCUAGUUUCAACCUCUUCUAACCUUCGGUGUAGAAGCCAGGUCUAUUUGCCGAUUCGCCUGGUUUGGUUCGCCUUCGUCUCUUCCACCUUCGCUUGAUUUGGUUCAUCUUCAUCUCCAAAUUUUGCCACUACCCACUAGAUCUGCCGUCUGUUGAAAUGUGAAUCUGAGGUACCUUUUUUAUUUUCUGUCUUUGAUGGUUCAUAUAAUUAGUUGAAAAUUGGAUGUAUGAGUUUUGAUGGUUUAGUUGAAUAUUGGAUGUGUGAAUUCUGAUUGUUUAAGUGAUAAUUGGGUGUGAAUUUUGCCGGUUUAAAUGAAAAUUUGGUGUGUGAGUUGUGAUGGCUAAGUUGCAAAUUUGGAUGUGUGAAUCUCUAGAUUGAUAGACAUACCUAGGAUUUACACUCCAUAGAAGUAUUAUUCAAGCAACUUUAAAGUACAACAAAGCCUUAUUCUAACUCCAAAUUUCAUACUCAGAAGUAGUAUAGAUGAAACAAGGCUUAAGAGUACUGCAUUUUGUGACCCUAAAGAGUUUAAAACAUUGGAAAAUGAUAAGUAUAAGCAGUGCAAAUACAAGGAAGCUUUGGGGUUAUACGAUCAAGCAAUAGAAAUUGAUUCAAGUGUAGCAGCUUAUCGAAGUAAUGAAACUCCAGCUUUGACAGACCUUGGUGGCCUCCUAGAGGCAGUUUUCGAGUGUAGGGAAGCUGUCAGAAAUAAGAAUUGAUCAUUCGUAUCAAUAAGCUCAUCAUCGUCUUGCAACUCUUUAUUAUUUCAGAUUGGGAUAUGCGGAGGAAGCAGUCCAACAUUUUUGUCUCUCAGGAAACAUAGCAAGUUUAACAGAUAUAACUCAAGCGAGUCCAUAGCUGCUGCAUUUGCUUCAUGGCUUUCUGAUAAAAAGAAAGUUGAUGGUUCCAGGCCCAUGAGCGUUUCCAUUGGUCAUGAUUCUCGAAUUUCAGCCUCAAUGCUUCAGGCAAGGAAGAGCUUUCGCGUACUAAAUCAAAUUCAGUCACGGCGAAUUCAGAUGUUAGAAAAUCAGAUGCUACAACGUCAGGCUGCAUAUAAGAAUGAGCAAGACCUAGAGAGCAACUUUUCUAAGUGGAUGGUUUUUGGUUCUAAUUACAGUUGAUUGUUACACUUGAAUAUAAAGUUGCGGAGCAUAUAUAUUUGGUUAGGCUGAAAGUGGAAAUAGGCAGAAAGUGGAAAUAGGCAAAAAGUGUAUUCUAGCUAUCUGGAUUAUGUUUCAGUUUCGUCGUUGCUACUACUGGGUGCUUCUAGUCCAGGAAUUAGUCCAUCUGCAUCAGCAGCUAGCUUGGGGAGUAUUAAAACCAGCUUUAUUGGUGAUAGCAGCGCGAGUACAGUAGGUUCAAUGGCCUAUUCAACUGGACCAUAUGAGCAUGUCACAUAUAGUUCUUCUGUGAGUCUUGAGCAAUCUCUCCAAAUAGGACAACAUAAUCAAGGCAAUGGAGAAUCUGAUCCAAGCAGCAUAAAUACAUAUGUAGACAUUGGAGAUUUAUCUUCAAAUGCUAAUCAGUAUGGUUUUUGUGUAAAUAGGUACGUUGCUCCUCUAUAUUGCUUCUUUCUUUACCCCCAAUUAUUAAUGCUGUAGUAAUUUACCAUAAUUUUAUGUGUAUUUCCAACCCUUUGUACUUUUGUAGUAUGCUUGAGAUUUGAUAUGGAAGAUGAUAUUGGUUAUAUGAGUCAA